rnacentral:rRNA from 1 species
GGCGAACGCUGGCGGCGUGCUUAACACAUGCAAGUCGAACGGAAAGGCCCUGCUUUUGUGGGGUGCUCGAGUGGCGAACGGGUGAGUAACACGUGAGUAACCUGCCCUUGACUUUGGGAUAACUUCAGGAAACUGGGGCUAAUACCGGAUAGGAGCUCCUGCUGCAUGGUGGGGGUUGGAAAGUUUCGGCGGUUGGGGAUGGACUCGCGGCUUAUCAGCUUGUUGGUGGGGUAGUGGCUUACCAAGGCUUUGACGGGUAGCCGGCCUGAGAGGGUGACCGGCCACAUUGGGACUGAGGUACGGCCCAGAAUCCUACGGGAGGCAGCAGUGGGGAAUAUUGCACAAUGGGCGGAAGCCUGAUGCAGCAACGCCGCGUGCGGGAUGACGGCCUUCGGGUUGUAAACCGCUUUCGCCUGUGACGAAGCGUGAGUGACGGUAAUGGGUAAAGAAGCGCCGGCUAACUACGUG